rnacentral:rRNA from 1 species
UUUCCGUAGGUGAACCUGCGGAAGGAUCAUUACUGUCGCAAAGUCCAUUCACUCCGUCGGCGAGCGAGUGGUGCUCGAAUGAUGUUUUAACCCUCUCCGCGGAGGCGGACGGGAGAGGCAUCUGUGCCCAGUAUCGUAUGUAUUCCAUUCGUAUUGCGAUCUGACUUCGGCUGUGAAGUUAGGCGCGCGUCGCCGGUGCGUCCGGUUUGACAUGCUUUUCCAUUUAACUCGUGCUAUGGAGAAAAAAAAAACGCAUCAGGACUCAAUAUGGGGGAUCACUUAGUCCUUAAAUCGAUGAAAAACAUUGUAAUUUGUGGAAAUUGAUGUGAGUUGUGAAAUUUUGUGAGCAUUGUGUUUUUGAAUGAAAAUUUCAGCAUGGAUGCCUUGUGUCUAUGCUACACUUGUUUCAGUAUAUAACUCGUAGUAUAUGUACUUACUAUUGCCGCUACGCAAUGGUAUAAAAUCUCCACGGUCACGAGAGUGAUGCUGCCUGCUCAACUUGACGUGUAUCUGAAAUCAAGUGUGACGACCCGCUGAACUUAAGCAUAUC